rnacentral:rRNA from 1 species
AGCGUAGGCGGGAUGGCAAGUCAGAUGUGAAACCUGAGGGCUCAACCUUCAGACUGCAUUUGAAACUGCUGUUCUUGAGUGAAGUAGAGGUAAGCGGAAUUCCUGGUGUAGCGGUGAAAUGCGUAGAGAUCAGGAGGAACAUCGGUGGCGAAGGCGGCUUACUGGGCUUUUACUGACGCUGAGGCUGAAAGCGUGGGGAGCAAACA